rnacentral:snRNA from 1 species
ACACUCUUGUUUCUCUUCAAAUCGUAUAAAUCUUUCGCCUUUUACUAAAGAUUUCCGUGGAGAGGAGCGUUAUGAGUAUGACUCAAUUUUUUUAAUGCCCCUCUUAAAUGUCGGGCU